rnacentral:rRNA from 1 species
AGUGAACGCUGGCGGUAGGCCUAACACAUGCAAGUCGAACGGCAGCACAGUAAGAGCUUGCUCUUACGGGUGGCGAGUGGCGGACGGGUGAGGAAUACAUCGGAAUCUACUUUUUCGUGGGGGAUAACGUAGGGAAACUUACGCUAAUACCGCAUACGACCUACGGGUGAAAGCAGGGGAUCUUCGGACCUUGCGCGAUUGAAUGAGCCGAUGUCGGAUUAGCUAGUUGGCGGGGUAAAGGCCCACCAAGGCGACGAUCCGUAGCUGGUCUGAGAGGAUGAUCAGCCACACUGGAACUGAGACACGGUCCAGACUCCUACGGGAGGCAGCAGUGAGGAAUAUUGGACAAUGGGCGCAAGCCUGAUCCAGCCAUACCGCGUGGGUGAAGAAGGCCUUCGGGUUGUAAAGCCCUUUUGUUGGGAAAGAAAAGCAGCAGGUUAAUACCCCGCUGUUCUGACGGUACCCAAAGAAUAAGCACCGGCUAACUUCGU